UAGCUAGUUGGUGAGGUAAAGGCUUACCAAGGCGACGAUCUGUAGCGGGUCUGAGAGGAUGAUCCGCCACACUGGAACUGAGACACGGUCCAGACUCCUACGGGAGGCAGCAGUGGGGAAUUUUGGACAAUGGGGGCAACCCUGAUCCAGCCAUGCCGCGUGAGUGAAGAAGGCCUUCGGGUUGUAAAGCUCUUUCGGCCGGGAAGAAAUCGCAUGGGCCAAUACCCUGUGUGGAUGACGGUACCGGAAUAAGAAGCACCGGCUAACUACGUGCCAGCAGCCGCGGUAAUACGUAGGGUGCGAGCGUUAAUCGGAAUUACUGGGCGUAAAGCGCGCGCAGGCGGUUUUGUAAGACAGGCGUGAAAUCCCCGGGCUUAACCUGGGAACUGCGUUUGUGACUGCAAGGCUAGAGUACGGCAGAGGGGGGUGGAAUUCCACGUGUAGCAGUGAAAUGCGUAGAGAUGUGGAGGAACACCAAUGGCGAAGGCAGCCCCCUGGGUCGAUACUGACGCUCAUGCACGAAAGCGUGGGUAGCAAACAGGAUUAGAUACCCUGGUAGUCCACGCCCUAAACUAUGUCAACUAGGUGUUGGGUGGGUAAAACCAUUUAGUACCGUAGCUAACGCGUGAAGUUGACCGCCUGGGGAGUACGGCCGUAAGGUUAAAACUCAAAGGAAUUGACGGGGACCCGCACAAGCGGUGGAUGAUGUGGAUUAAUUCGAUGCAACGCGAAAAACCUUACCUACCCUUGACAUGCCAGGAACUUGCCAGAGAUGGCUUGGUGCCCGAAAGGGAGCCUGGACACAGGUGCUGCAUGGCUGUCGUCAGCUCGUGUCGUGAGAUGUUGGGUUAAGUCCCGCAACGAGCGCAACCCUUGUCGUUAAUUGCCAUCAUUUAGUUGGGCACUUUAACGAGACUGCCGGUGACAAACCGGAGGAAGGUGGGGAUGACGUCGAGUCCUCAUGGCCCUUAUGGGUAGGGCUUCACACGUCAUACAAUGGUCGGUACAAAGGGUUGCCAAGCCGCGAGGCGGAGCCAAUCCCAGAAAGCCGAUCGUAGUCCGGAUUGCAGGCUGCAACUCGCCUGCAUGAAGUCGGAAUCGCUAGUAAUCGUGGAUCAGCAUGUCACGGUGAAUACGUUCCCGGGUCUUGUACACACCGCCCGUCACACCAUGGGAGCGGGUUCCGCCAGAAGUAGGUAGCCUAACCGCAAGGGGGGCGCUUACCACGGCGGGGUUCGUGACUGGGGUGAAGUCGUAACAAGGUAGCCGUAGGGGAACCUGCGGCUG
rnacentral:rRNA from 1 species